CCUACGGGAGGCAGCAGUGAGGAAUAUUGGUCAAUGGACGAGAGUCUGAACCAGCCAAGCAGCGUGAAGGAUGACUGCCCUAUGGGUUGUAAACUUCUUUUAUAUGGGGAUAAAACGUUCUACGUGUGGGCUUUUGUAUGUACCAUAUGAAUAAGGAUCGGCUAACUCCGUGCCAGCAGCCGCGGUAAUACAGAGGAUCCGAGCGUUAUCCGGAUUUAUUGGGUUUAAAGGGAGCGUAGGUGGAUUGUUAAGUCAGUUGUGAAAGGUUGCGGCUCAACCGUAGAAUUGCAGUUGAUACUGGCUGUCUAGAGUACAGUUGCGGUGGGCGGAAUGUGUGGUGUAGCGGUGAAAUGCUUAGAUAUCACGCAGAACUCCGAUUGCGAAGGCAGUUCACUGAACUGCAACUGACGCUGAGGCUCGAAAGUGUGGGUAUCAAACAGGAUUAGAUACCCUGGUAGUC
rnacentral:rRNA from 1 species